GAUCCUGCCAGAGGCCAUUGCUAUCGGAGUCCGAUUUAGCCAUGCUAGUUGUGCGGGUUUAGACCCGCAGCGGAAAGCUCAGUAACACGUGGCCAAGCUACCCUGUGGACGGGAAUACUCUCGGGAAACUGAGGCUAAUCCCCGAUAACGCUUUGCUCCUGGAAGGGGCAAAGCCGGAAACGCUCCGGCGCCACAGGAUGCGGCUGCGGUCGAUUAGGUAGACGGUGGGGUAACGGCCCACCGUGCCCAUAAUCGGUACGGGUUGUGAGAGCAAGAGCCCGGAGACGGAAUCUGAGACAAGAUUCCGGGCCCUACGGGGCGCAGCAGGCGCGAAACCUUUACACUGUACGAAAGUGCGAUAAGGGGACUCCGAGUGUGAAGGCAUAGAGCCUUCACUUUUGUACACCGUAAGGUGGUGCACGAAUAAGGACUGGGCAAGACCGGUGCCAGCCGCCGCGGUAAUACCGGCAGUCCGAGUGAUGGCCGAUCUUAUUGGGCCUAAAGCGUCCGUAGCUGGCUGAACAAGUCCGUUGGGAAAUCUGUCCGCUUAACGGGCAGGCGUCCAGCGGAAACUGUUCAGCUUGGGACCGGAAGACCUGAGGGGUACGUCUGGGGUAGGAGUGAAAUCCUGUAAUCCUGGACGGACCGCCGGUGGCGAAAGCGCCUCAGGAGAACGGAUCCGACAGUGAGGGGAC
rnacentral:rRNA from 1 species